GACGAACGCUGGCGGCGCGCUUAACACAUGCAAGUCGAGCGAAGCGGCGGACGGGAGAGUAACACGUGAGUAACCUGCCUUAGACAUUGGGAUAGCCUCGGGAAACCGGGAUUAAUUGCAAAUGAUCUAAGAUGGACUCGCGUCCCAUUAGCUAGUUGGUGGGUAACGACCCAACAAGGCGACGAUGGGUAGCCGGCCUCGGAGACUGGACGACAACAUUGGAAGUGGGAAACGGUCCAAACUCUACGGGAGGCAGCAGUGGGGAAUAGUGCACAAUGGAGGUAACUAUGAUGCAGCUACGCCGCGUGAACGAAGAAGGCUUUCGAGUCGUAAUGUUCUUUUAUAUGGGAAGCGGUACCAUAAGAAAAAGCCCCGGCUAACUACGUGCCAGCAGCCGCGGUAAUUC
rnacentral:rRNA from 1 species